CGAUCUCCCUCCCCGUUCCACAGGCACCACGCAGCCAGUCGGCAGGGGAGGAAGAGAGGACCUGGGGCAACGCUCCGGCUCUCAUGAGGGUGAACUCUGGUUGAAGUACUUUUUAAUUUUAAGUUAUCUGUUCUAACUCUGUAUCUGCACACUAUGCUGGCGUGAUGCAUUAUGGGGCUGGUAAAUAUUUUUUUUCCAGGGCUGCUUUUAAUUCCCAGUCCGGCCCUGGUAGAGAAAAGUGGACAUAAAGUACAUCUCUGGUCAAUUUGACCAUUGCUUAAUAUAAUACCCUCUUAUCUAUUACUGCUCCUUCAGUAGCCUGAACUACUAAAUUGCUGUCUUCAUGUACGGGCUAUUCUGAUUUAAAAGUAUGCUUUGAUUUAUCUUUUUAUGUUGACAAACUGAAAUAGAACAUGUGCAACUUUGCUCAUUUCAUUUGUUUAGGAAUCUCUAAUUAUCCUAUCCUUCCUUUCUCCCACAGUAGAAAUGUAAAUAACUCAUCCACAUGACUGGUGUCACAGACAGUAUUACAUGGUCUUCACAUGAAUCACAUGUCUUAUUUAUUUUAAGAUUGCUUCUACUGAAUCUUUUCCUUGAUAACAUGGUAUUAAAAAGAAGUAAACAUAUUAUUUCAGUUGCAUUUGUCCAAAGUGAAUAUGCAUUUAAAAUUUGAUCUUUAAACCGCUCACAAUUGCGUCUGAAAUUAACUGACAACUAAACUUGGG